rnacentral:rRNA from 1 species
CAGCAGCCGCGGUAAUACGUAGGUGGCAAGCGUUGUCCGGAAUUAUUGGGCGUAAAGCGCGCGCAGGCGGUCCUUUAAGUCUGAUGUGAAAUCUUGCGGCUCAACCGCAAGUGGUCAUUGGAAACUGGAGGGCUUGAGUGCAGGAGAGGAGAGUGGAAUUCCACGUGUAGCGGUGAAAUGCGUAGAGAUGUGGAGGAACACCAGUGGCGAAGGCGACUCUCUGGCCUGUAACUGACGCUGAGGCGCGAAAGCGUGGGGAGCGAACAGGAUUAGAUACCCUGGUAGUCCACGCCGUAAACGAUGAGUGCUAGGUGUUAGGGGGUUUCCGCCCCUUAGUGCUUGAAGUUAACGCAUUAAGCACUCCGCCUGGGGAGUACGACCCGCAAGGUUGAAACUCAAAGGAAUUGACGG